UUAGCUCAGUUGGUUAGAGUAUGCUCCUGAUAAGGGUAUGGCCGUUGGUUCAAAUC
rnacentral:tRNA from 1 species